UACGUAGGGGGCAAGCGUUGUCCGGAAUCAUUGGGCGUAAAGAGCGUGUAGGCGGCCCGAUAAGUCCGCUGUGAAAGUCCAGGGCUCAACCCUGGGAUGCCGGUGGAUACUGUCGGGCUCGAGUCCGGAAGAGGAGUGUGGAAUUCCUGGUGUAGCGGUGAAAUGCGCAGAUAUCAGGAGGAACACCAAUGGCGAAAGCAGCUCUCUGGGACGGUACUGACGCUGAGACGCGAAAGCGUGGGGAGCGAACAGG
rnacentral:rRNA from 1 species